GGGAGGUUUUUGUUAAGCUCUGUAGUACUGUGACUGGGGGGAUUCGAGCACAGUGUUACAAAACCCACAGAGACCUGUACAAAAACUGCCUGGGCCAAAGCACCAUUUCCCUGGGAAAGCCUCAGCCUCCCUCUGGUGCCACAUGGGAUGAACACAGCAGGUACCCUUCCUUCCUUUGCUCUGCAAACCAGAAGGGAUGCCAGGAAGUUGACUGGACCUGGAGAAAUGACCACAGUGGCUGGCCUCUCAUUUGCUGCUAUUUCCUGGGUAACUAUGGCAAUUCAACAUUUACUUACACAGCACAUUAUGGAGAACACAAGAUAAAUGAAGAUGUUUUGUUAAAAAUGAUCCUUGUAUGUUUUCAUGCUGAUUCUACUGAAAAGAGAAAAAAGACUUACCUGAGCCAUCUCCUAUGGGAUUUCUGAGCCCAGGUCCUUAGAUUUGCCUCGGAGCUUUGUGUUUGCAAAUUGGGAAGGUGAAUUUGAAGAUGGAUUUGUCUGUAGACAAUCAGUAGCCAUAUGGUGACUGUAAAGGUCUUGAGUAAUCAUGGGCCCAAGACCCAACAGCUCCAUGGACCAACUUUCUGGGGCUAAGAGUUAGUUGUGUGUCUGGAAAAUGUCAACAGUCUAAAACAAUGGGCAAUGAAAUAGAAAACUUUCUUGGUGUGCUGUGCUGGAGACAUUCACCCCAGGAAUGUAAGCUCCUACCUGCUCCUCAGACUAAAGCCUCCAAAAGCAGCCCUGACCUUGCCUGCAGUUGUUAAAUCAUAGUGAACCUGUUGGACAGGCAACAAGUGCCACCUUUCAAGGAAUUACAUAUGGAAAACCAAUGGGUCCUAAAGCCCAUAGGAGAAAGGAAGGUGGCAUCACUUGCUGGGGUUUUGGGAGCACUCUCAAUGACUGUGCAACCGACAAGCUUAUCUUUGGACAAGGAACUCAAGUGACUGUGGAACCAAGAAUCCAGCCUCCUACCAAACCAUCUGUUUUCAUCAUGAAAAAUGGAACAAAAGUCGCUUGUUUGGUGAAGGAUUUUUAUCCCAAAAAUGUACAGAUACAUCUUGAAUCGUCCAAGAAGAUAGCAGAAUUUGACCCUGCUGUAGUCAUCUCUCCCAGUGGGAAGUACAGUGCUAUCAAGCUCGGUCAGUAUGAAGAUUCCAGUUCAGUGACAUGUUCAGUUCAGCACAACAACAAAACCGUGCACUCCACUGACUUUGAAUUGAAGACAAGUUCUUUGGGUAAUGUAAAACAAACAGAGAUUGAAAACAUGACCCAAACUUCAGAAAGCUGCCACAAAUCAAGAGUUCACACAGAGAAGGUGAACAUGAUGUCACUCACAGUGCUGGGACUACGAAUGUUGCUUGCCAAGAGUGUUGCUGUCAAUUUUGUCUUGACAGCUAAAUUAUUUUUCUUUUAAGGCUGACUGGCAUGAGGAGGAUAUACAACCUGAAAAAAAACAAAAGCUUAUGAAGAUGCUAUAUGCUAGACUUCAGACUUCUUGGUGAUUCAAAUUGACCUGUCAUAGCCUUACUUAAAUUUAAACCAGUUUUUUUAAAGCAACAAACCCAGUUCAACCUCUAGUCUUUUACCAAAGUAAAAACCUUAGGAAAUGGGAGUUUAUGAUCAAACAUGAUACGCUACUUUAUAAAGGGCUAGAGAGAUAUAUAAAUAUAGCUCUAUUGUAUUAAUUCCUAUAGCAUAUAUUUGGAAAACAAUGUUUCAUUCCCCUCUACUUUUGUUUUUCUCUUUUUUGCUUUCUCUUUAUUCUAAAGAGAUUCUAAAGUUUAAGUAGGGCCUUGGGCUUGCUAGACAGGUGCUCUACCAUAGCCAAGCUAUUGGUUGAGACAAAUGUCUCCCCAACUUUUUGCCCUAAGUGGCUUCAAAUCAAAAUCCUCCCUAUCUCAGCCUCCCAAGUAGCUAGGAUUAAAGCUCUGAGCCACACAGCUGACUCCCUUUCUUUAUCUCCAGAAAUAGGAAGCAGGAAACAGUAGGUUCCCAGCACCAUUCUCCAUGAAGAAAAUAGUCUCUAAGAGAAGGAGAGCAACCAUCCUUGUUUCUAAAUAUGGAAGGCUCUGUUCCACCUAGCCUCGGCUGCCAGGCCAGCGUCCUGGAUGAAGGACUCUAUUGCACAGAGCACUAAGCUGCAAGGCCAGGUCUACAUCCUCCCCUGCUGUGACUUGGUUUGCCCUCCACAUUGCUCUAGAAGCCACACCAGAGAUUUUUCAUGGCAGCACUGGGGCAGAAGAUAAUUAGAGGGCUUUCUGGUUUUCUUAGUACUUCUCAAACAAAAUUACAUUUGGCUUCCCCAAUCCUCUUCAUUCAGGCAAAGGAGUUGCUUGUUUGCUUGCUCACGUGUUUUCUUGCUUUUUUAUUAUUUAGUAUACUUUAGUCUUACAAAGGAGAUUUCAUUCAUCCAUCAUGUAUGAAAUAUAUCUGAAUCAACCCCACCCCUCCAUACUCUCCCCCCAGCCUACCAUCCCCUUGCCCUCUGGUUGGUCCCCUCCCUCCCCAUCUAAACAAGUUUGUUUUGCUUUCCUCUUUUUCUUUUUCAGUGUAUAUUAAUUACACCAAGAGUCAAUGAGGUUUCUAAAAUUUGAUCCAAAUACUGUCCACUCUGCUAGCCAAAAUGAUAGUUAAAUUCAGAGGUAAAGCAUGGCACCUCUUCCUGUGGAUUGACUUCAUGUUCAUGAACUGACUUCCUCUCAGCCCCUGGCACUACACUGGGGGUGCACAGAUGUAAGACAAGGGCCCUGUUUUCCAGCAAUUUUCUUCCCUUCUGGAGGGAGGGAUAGGAAUGACCUCUAUCUUUCCCUGUAACAAUAAAAUCUUUAUUGCUUUGCUACCAGUCUGUGCACAGGAAGUUUGAGAUCACUGGAUAGGAUUCAUUUGCCCUUGGCCUCUGGUGUUGGUGGUCUCUGCCUUUCUUUUCAGUGCC